CAAUUUCUCUUUAUCAAGGUUGCAAGAACCGGACCAGUCAAUGAACCGGUAAGACAACUGGUUCACUGGUUCAAUGGUCCGACCGGGGUUCAACCGGGGUUCAACCGGUUUAAUUAAAUAUUAAAUAAAAUUAUUAAAAAUUAAUGUAUGUAAUGCUUGAUCACUAUCUAGUUGUUCUAUCUUCAAAAAUAAAAAUUU